CCUACGGGAGGCAGCAGUGGGGAAUAUUGCGCAAUGGGCGAAAGCCUGACGCAGCGACGCCGCGUGAGGGAUGAAGGUCUUCGGAUCGUAAAACUCUGUCAGCAGGGAAGAACGGUCACUGUGCUAAUCAGCAGUGAAUUGACGGUACCUGCAAAGGAAGCACCGGCUAACUCCGUGCCAGCAGCCGCGUUAAUACGGAGGGUGCGAGCGUUAAUCGGAAUUACUGGGCGUAAAGCGCUCGUAGGCGGUAUGUCAAGUCAAGGGUGAAAUCCCCGCGCUCAACGUGGGAACUGCCUUUGAAACUGGCAAACUGGAGUGUGUGAGAGGAUAGUGGAAUUCCAGGUGUAGGAGUGAAAUCCGUAGAUAUCUGGAGGAACAUCAGUGGCGAAGGCGACUAUCUGGCACAUAACUGACAUUGAUGCUCGAAAGUGUGGGUAUCAAACAGGAUUAGAUACCCUAGUAGUC
rnacentral:rRNA from 1 species